rnacentral:rRNA from 1 species
GACGAACGCUGGCGGCGUGCCUAAUACAUGCAAGUCGAGCGAAGUUUUUCUGGUGCUUGCACUAGAAAAACUUAGCGGCGAACGGGUGAGUAACACGUAAAGAACCUGCCUCAUAGACUGGGACAACUAUUGGAAACGAUAGCUAAUACCGGAUAACAGUAUUUCUCGCAUGAGAGAUAUUUAAAAGUUGGUUAUGCUAACACUAUGAGAUGGCUUUGCGGUGCAUUAGCUAGUUGGUGGGGUAAAGGCCCACCAAGGCGACGAUGCAUAGCCGACCUGAGAGGGUGAUCGGCCACACUGGGACUGAGACACGGCCCAGACUCCUACGGGAGGCAGCAGUAGGGAAUCUUCCGCAAUGGGCGAAAGCCUGACGGAGCAACGCCGCGUGAGUGAAGAAGGAUUUCGGUUCGUAAAGCUCUGUUGUUAGGGAAGAAUGGAUAUGUAGUAACCAUACAUGUAAGAGACGGUACCUAACCAGAAAGCCACGGCUAACUACGUG